AGGGGGUGCAGCAGUGGGAGGGGGUGCAGCAGCGGGAGCAAAAACCGGAGUGGGAAAUGAAGAAUUCCGAGAGUGCCUGCUCGACCCCCGAGAGUGGCUGGACGAACCCCAAGAGUGGCUGGACGAACCCUGAGAAUGGCUCUCCGUACCACUACGACCUUGUGGUGAGGCACGACGAGAUCGAGACCGGGUCUGAUCACCA
rnacentral:lncRNA from 1 species